rnacentral:lncRNA from 1 species
AAAUCAGUCGCCACAAGAAUUCUCUUGUGCCCUUCCUUGAAACCCUUGUAGCGUGUCAGUCUAUCAAGCAGACAAGGGAAGAAUUAGGUUACAUAACAUCCUUCCUUAAAACCCUUGUAGCGUGUCAGUCUAUCAAGCAGACAAGGGAAGAAUUAGCUUACAUAACAUGCAAAUAAAAGACGUUAACAGCAGCACAACAUGAUUACUGAUCCCCUCUAAUACACAAACACAGUAGCCUUCAAGAAAUCAGAUGAAAUGCAUGCACAAGCAAAUAACUCCAAAGGGAAGAAAGUAA